CUUGAAUUUAUUUUAUCUUUAUAUCUUUGCACUUCCAACUCAUCUUAUUCUUAUCUUUGUAUUUGCAUACAAUAAACACACUCUUAUUAGUAUACAGGUUUAUGAGUUUUAACAAGUGCAUAGAGUAGUGCAACUACUAUCAAAAUUAAGAUACAGAACAUAUCCAUUACCUCCCCAAAAUUUCCUCAUGCAGUUCUUUGCAGUGACCUCUUCUGUUCCUCUAACCUGGCAUCCAGUGCUGUAUUCUCACUUCAAUGGAGUAUUCUGUCUUCCAGAACCUCAUGUGAAUGAAAUCAUAUGACCGCAAAAGGCAGUAUAUAGCAUCUCUUCUAAGGUGAAGACUGGGUGCCAAUAAAAGAUAUGGAAGAUAUAAGAAGAAACUCCAAACAAGUGUCAAAUAAGAUUAACGUUUUCUCCUGACUGACCACUGGUUUGUUUGGUAUGCACAUACGAUUUAGGAAGGCAAAGCCUGGGUUUAUAUAUAAAAAAUAUUUAAGACCCCCAAAAUCUGAUCAUGUUAAUUUCUAUAUAUUGCAAAUUAUAUGGAAACUGUAUAUUCUGAUGUUAAGAUAAGCAUUUAGAACAUAGAAAAUAUAAAAAUAAAAAAUUUCCCAACAUUAAAUUUUUUAGUCAUUCCUUACUCCUAAUUUUUCUUUAUUAAAACAUUCAGAGUAAUAAGUACCGCAUUUGCCUCAGAAACUUUUAAAUAAGAAAUAAACUUACAGAUAUAAUAGAAGCUUCUAUUUCAAUCCAAUUCCCCAAAUCCCAAAGAUUAUGCUUAUUCACAUUUGUGUAUAGCCACAGUUUGUGUUAUGAUAUGUGCUUUUAGAGUUCCCAUAAAUUAUAUCAUAUUUUACAUAUAUUUUUGCAUUUGCUAUUUUCACUCAACAUUGUUUUCCAGAUUUAUCCAUGUUGAUCCAUAUAAAUUCAGAAAAUUAAUUUUAACCGAUGUGUAGUUUUACAUUGUAUGCACAUACCCAUGAUUCACUUUUCCAUUUUUCUAGUAAUGAACUUUAAGAUUAUUUCCAAUUUUUGGCUAUUACCAAUAAUAAUUCAACAAAUGUCUUUGGACAUAUCUCUUCUGGAAAUGUAUGUGGAUUUCUCUUUGAAAAGGUUUACCUGGUGAAAUUUCUAGUGUUUUAUAUAUAUAUAUAUACAUAUAUACACACACACACACACACACACACACAUUACAUAUUUUCAGCUUUACUAUAUAUUUCCAAAAAACUAUCCAAAGUGGAAGAUUUAAACCCCCCUUAGCAGUAUAUAAAUUCAUGGUUCCUAAAGCCCUUGGCAUAGUUUUGUGUUUUUAAAGAAAAGAGCAUAAAGUCUUAUUGCUGUUAAAUUUUACCUUACUCUUUUAAAGUGUAUUUUCAUAAUAAUUUACUAUUCAUUUUAUCAUCUGUUGUGAAUAUUGUGUCAUAGUUCUUAAUCAUUUUUUCUACUGAAUUAUUUAUUUUGUAUCAUUAAUUUGUAGAAAUCCUCUUUAUAUUAUAUUUUUCAAUUAUAUAUUUUGUAAAUAUUUUACCCAAUUUUCUGGCUUGCAUUUAACCUUUAGGAUGCCUAUAAUUUUUCAUUUUAAUACCAUCUAAUUUAUUAUUCUCUGUUUUUAUUCUUCAUAUGUUCUGGCAUUUGAUUAAUAGGCCAUUUGUUGCCCAAUGUCAUUAGUUUUCUAUAUAUACUUUAAAAUAUCUAAACAUUUAAUAUUCAUAAAUAAUUUCACAAAUAGUUUAAGAUUUGAGUCUUCAGCCUAAAUAGACAUAGGUUUUUGUGAUAUAGUGUAAUAUACAGAUUUUUACUUAUAUAUGGAUAGUCACUUAUUCUGACAUCAUUUAUUGAAUAGUAUAAUUUUUCUACUGGCUUGUAGUAUCAUAUCUUUCAUUACAAGUCCAAUGUAUUCAGCAUAUCUAUGGAUAUAUUUCUUGAUGUUCCAUUUUCUUCCAAUUGGUUUCAAUGUAUCGCUGAGCCAAAGCAAAUCAUUUUAAUUAUUAUAAUUAAAAUACAUUUAAAUAUUGAUAGGGUAUUAUUCUUCAAAAUAAUUUUGGUUCUUCCUUUAUUGAUUAUUUUAAUAUGACUUUUCCAAUCAAGUUCUAAAAAAUUACUUGUGGUAUAUUUAUUGGAAUAACUGUAAAUGUAUAUAUUGGUAUAUUUGCGAUUGUAAGCCUUUCCAUGCAUGAAUAUGGUAUACCUAUGUUUUGUUUAGGUACUCUGUUAUGUCAUUCUAUAAA
rnacentral:lncRNA from 10 species